GAUGAAGAACGUAGCGAAAUGCGAUAAGUAAUGUGAAUUGCAGAAUCCAGUGAAUCAUCGAAUCUUUGAACGCACAUUGCGCCCGCCAGCAUUCUGGCGGGCAUGCCUGUUCGAGCGUCAUUUCAACCCUCGACCUCCCCUUGGGGAGGUCGGCGUUGGGGACCGGCAGCACACCGCCGGCCCUGAAAUGGAGUGGCGGCCCGUCUGCGGCGACCUCUGCGUAGUAAUACAGCUCGCACCGGAACCCCGACGCGGCCACGCCGUAAAACACCCAACUUCUGAACGUUGACCUCGAAUCAGGUAGGACUACCCGCUGAACUUAAGCAUAUCAAUAAGCGGAGGA
rnacentral:misc_RNA from 1 species